CCUACGGGCGGCAGCAGUGGGGAAUAUUGGACAAUGGGGGCAACCCUGAUCCAGCCAUGCCGCGUGUGUGAAGAAGGCCCUCGGGUUGUAAAGCACUUUCAGUGAGGAAGAACGCCUGGUGGUUAAUACCCAUCAGGAAAGACAUCACUCACAGAAGAAGCACCGGCUAACUCCGUGCCAGCAGCCGCGGUAAUACGGAGGGUGCGAGCGUUAAUCGGAAUUACUGGGCGUAAAGCGCGCGUAGGUGGCUUGAUAAGCCGGUUGUGAAAGCCCCGGGCUCAACCUGGGAACGGCAUCCGGAACCGUCAAGCUAGAGUGCAGGAGAGGAAGGUAGAAUUCCCGGUGUAGCGGUGAAAUGCGUAGAGAUCGGGAGGAAAACCAGUGGCGAAGGCGGCCUUCUGGACUGACAAUGACACUGAGGUGCGAAAGCGUGGGUAGCAAACAGGAUUAGAUACCCCGGUAGUC
rnacentral:rRNA from 1 species